rnacentral:rRNA from 1 species
UACGUAGGGUGCAAGCGUUGUCCGGAAUUAUUGGGCGUAAAGAGCUCGUAGGCGGUUUGUUGCGUCGGCUGUGAAAUCCCGAGGCUCAACCUCGGGUCUGCAGUCGAUACGAGCAAACUAGAGUGUUGCAGGGGAGACUGGAAUUCCUGGUGUAGCGGUGAAAUGCGCAGAUAUCAGGAGGAACACCGGUGGCGAAGGCGGAUCUCUGGGCCGAUUACUGACGCUGGAGGAGCGAAAAGCCGUGGGGGAGCGAACAGG